CGAGAAGCCGCCGACGAAACCGAGUCCGCGCUGCAAUAGGUCUUCCGCCCGUAAGUAUAUAAUAUUAUACACCCGAUACAUUAUUUUAAUAUUAACUCCGGUUGUAGGCGAGAAGUCGGGAACGUAGGAUGUAUAGAGUUGGGGGAGGGGGAUGUAGAGCGUUUAAUGUGUACCCGUGAGCAACGGUCGACCGUUGCCGACGAAAAAACGAUUCCGAGCGGAGUUCGGUUGUACGCGUUUUAAACGGCGUCAAUAUUUACGAUUUUCGUCAAGAUUUUAUAUUGAAAAUCUAUAGGAAAAAAAAUAAAAAUAUAUACCACAUUAAAAUCAACUUUAUCUUUUUGACCGCUAAGUAUGCGUCUCAUAAAGAUACUCCUGUGAAAUUUUCAACCAUUAUUUCUGUUCGGUCUAGCAAUUUCUCCCGCCGAGUACCCGUACCUACCGAAUAAAUAUUAAUAAAACCGUCGUUUUCGUGAAUUUUCCCGGUUUUCCUACGUUUUAUCCCCCGGAUUUUACGGGCGUCACGACGUCUGGUAGAAAUCACGCUCGCGUAGAAUAACGAACGUAAUAACGAUGUUAUUGUAGCGGUAAACGGCAAUACGGACUCGACGACGGUCACUAAACGAAACGACGCGGUAUAAUAGACGGCAAUUAUUUCGGUAAAACAAAACGAUAAACCGAUAAAUUAAAAAAAAAAAAAAAAAAAAAAAAAAAAACACGAACGGAGAAUAAAAAUAAAAAAAAAAAAAUCGUUGAAAAAUAAGCGAUAAUAAAGUUAAUGUUAAUUUUCGUAAUUAUUACGCGUCGCGUUUACAUAAUGACCGUUUUGUGUACACAUUUUUUUAUACGGUAUUUUAUACGCGAUUUCACGAGUUCCGUAAACGGGCCGUAAACGAUAACCGUUUUUGUUCCGUUUCCGCUGCAACAUAGAUUUUGAUCGUACCACGCGCGCGUCCGUCCGCGAUGUUUCAGCGUCACGCGUGCGUGACCCGGUCCCGCGCGGCGCCGCGGACGGGAAGUGCGAAUGUCGAAAACAACGGAAAUACACCGCGACGUUAAUUGUCCGCGCGCGGCGGACCGAUCGGAAUCGCGUUCGGAACGGGAUCGUAACGGUUGAAACAGAAAGAAGCGCACGAGACCGUUGAAAUACUUCGGGUAUUUCGAGGGGGGGGGGGGCGCCGGGCGUCUCGGCGUUUCGGGACACCCGUCGCCGCCGAGCGGCAUAAAACGUCGCGUUUACCGAACACCGACCAUAUUCCAAAAGCGUUGCCGUUCGACGCUACGGUUACCCGACAACACCUCUCCAACGCUGCGUAGAGAAUCCGGAGAACGUUUUCGGGCGCAUCUCCCCAUUCCCCCCCUCUCCCAAUCGGCGCCCGCGUAAACAGUGCGUUUACAGCGUCGACGACCGCAGCGGACGUUACCGCUCGGUAACGUCGAGAACCGUUAACACACGUCCAACGCAAAAUGUCGCAAAUUCCCGGUCGUGUUUUCUGUGAAACACCACCACCCGCUACUGAGCGUGCCCAUUUCUCACCGCCCGCCGCCGAAAACUUCGACCGCCGGUCGAAACAAGUGAGACAAGUCCGUUCUCCAAAGUUAUCACAGCGGUGAUUGUACGCGCGUUAGCGGACGUGCUUCGCGGCGACGGGCGGCCCGCUGCUGUAGGCGAAAAUUAUCGGGUGGGCGCGCAGGGCGAACGCGACGCGCGUCCGUGAGCCGCGGUCGGUCGUCGCGGCCAAACGGAAAACGAUUCCGAGCCGAGUUCGGUUACGCGUGGUUUCGACAGGUUCGCUCGCGGCGUGCCGCGCGUAUAAUGGGCGUGCAGGGAUGUCCCGUCCGUGUGCGCGACGAUUAUCCGUUCGGCGGUUCGGCCGUGUGUCGCGCGCGGGUUCGGCGAUCCGGUCGGGUACCCGCUGCCCGCCUCGGCGCAUUAUUACGCCGCCGCGCGAAUAUUCGCGAGCGAACGUUGACGGGCGGACGUGACCUUACGGCGGCGGUGUCGCGCGUAUAUAUUAAUAACAUUAUUUUUUCGCCCGUACCUACCGCGCAAGUACGCGAACGGGUUUUUUUUUUCUCUCCGCUUGCCUACGAAACCCGCGCGGUUUUUGGAAUAAAUUAACGUUCGCUAUUCGCGAAUAGCUCGCCGGACAAUCGAAUUUUUUUUCUCCGUCACAUAAAACAAUCGUACAAAUCAAUUACGACGUUAUUAUUCAUUUAUUCGGACCUAGGUGUUUAACGAUAUUACGGUCUCUUUCUCUCACUCUCUCUCUCUCUCUCUCUCUCUUUUUUUUUUACGAUAUUAUACGCCACGGUGUCGAAAAUCAAAAUCCGCGAACGAUACAGGCGCAUAAUAUUAAUAAGACGUUACUCCCCGUCCCGAAAUACGGAACAAAUUCGUUGAACGGCGUCAAUACGAAAUCGCGUUUUAUAAUUACGAAAUCGAAUCGCAUUAUGUACGUAUAGGAGGCGCGUAAACCUGUCUGUUCGAUUCGAAUUGUUUUACGAUUAUCUAAUGAAAGCGAUUCGGCGAUACUUUAUUUGAACAAAUUUAUCAAACAUUUAAAAGAAAAAAAUACCAUAAUUUUUUUGAAUACGUUUCAAUGGAGGUCGUUCUGUCAUUAUUUUAUACACUGCAGUUUAAUUUCGCAAACACACAACACGAUCAUUUUUGUAAUCGUUGUCGGUCCCCACACGCGCGGAUGAGGUAGGGCCGGGGAGCCGAGCACCGUCGUCCAGACCGAUUGCGUAUCGAGCGAAUGCCAAUGCGGAAAAACUGUCGGCACGAGACCGCACGUAAACCCCCCCCCCCGGGGGAGGGGACGGGGGGGGUUCGCGUACAGCGCGACGCUGCGGGCGGCCGAUGAACGCGUUCUGCCGCGCCGCCCCGCGUCGUAUUAUCGCGCGCGGUUAUUACGACAUCGGCUUAUUAAAGAGGCGUUAUGCUCGCGCCUUUUAGCAGCCUUUAGCGUGCGGAAAACCGCUCCGCACAACGUCAAUUUAUCGUUCAGACGGUACGCCGCGGACGACGGCGCGUUACGGGUUCGACGGGUUUUUAACGGGGUGGGGGGGGUGUGUGUAACGCGGCGGCUGUCGUCGUUUCCGGACGAAAUACAGUGCCGUCCCGUACAGUAACGCGGUUGUUCUUUCCCUCUCCGUCUUAUUCCGUAAAAGCUCAUCGCGGAAAACGUUCCGCGCGGAUCCGGAAUCUCGUUACAACGUCGCGCGUUCAUCCCUCCCCCGACCGUUUUGUUGUCCGUUUUCUUUCACCCUCCUGGUAGGGUUUAUCCGUCCGUCCGGUUCGUGUUGUUCGGUGCCCACAUUAUUUGUGGGUUUCGCUUUACGAUAACCGCCGUUUCGCAAACGCGUCUGACGUUACCACGCGGCGCACAACACCGAUGUCCACGGGCGAUUCUCUCCAUAUCCCGCGGAUGCGCCCUGUGCGCGCGUUACGCUGCGUCAUGCGCGUCACGGUUCGGUAGUGUUGCGCGCGGAUUCGUUCGGCGAUACGUUUCGCUGACGAAACUGACGAAAUUCCGCGCGCACCGCGUGAAUACGGCGCGCCGCGCGCGUUACGACCGGCCGCAGCGAUUGUCGCCGUGUGAACAAACCGUCCGGUUUUAAUACCUACCAAUGCGAACCGUCAGACGCGUGUGUGCCCGUUAUUGUCGGACGUCGGUGGCACCGCGUAUUUUCGUAUCGAAACGCGUUUUGACGGCGUCGUCCCGCCACGGCGCAUCGAUACGAAAUAUUACACCGCGCCCCGCGACCCGUAACCGUCUGAACGUGAACGGCUGCGGCGACCGCGUCACGGUCGCAUUCGAUUAGUCGCGCCACUCGCAAUCGCGCAUCAGUUUCUAACUCGUAAUUGUUCAUGUUUGUAAUCGAACACCGCGGCGGCCGUUUGGGCGCGCGGUACGUUCGACAUUUUUACAUUUUCGGACUUCUGAUCCCGGGGCUGUAACCACCGGUUUUUUUUUUUUGUUUUUCUACGUAAUUUCGUAUUAUUUUCCGAUUUGAAUGGCAUACACGUAUACGUAACAUUAUGUGUACAGUGCAUAUUGUUCUAACACUUGUGCUAUACCGAAAGUUCUCUGAAAAAGUCACGAUGACGCACCUUUUUAUUUCGGCGAUAAAACGCGAGUCAACGGUAUGUCGUUUGGCGAUUUUUAAAACGUAACGUAUGGAAAAAUUAUAGAAAAUCGAUUCAAGCCUUUCUUCCCCCGAGACCGACCGAAACUAAUAAUAAUUCGUCCGUUCGAAUAACGUUUUUGAAUGUAAAAAAAACAAAACGAAUAACAAGUUCUUACGAUAAAUUCGAAAAAUUAAUAUUUUAACAACGAUAAAUCAAUUUGGCUUUUAUGUUCCGGGUCACACGCAGCAGUGUUCAGAAAUGUAAUUAAAAAAAAAAAAAAAAANNNNNUUUUUUUUUUUUUUUUUUUUUUUUUUUUUUGCUUACACUCGUCUGACAAAAAGCUACAAACAAACAAAUGCGCAAAGGGCAGAGGAAAUCGAAUAGUUUUCCAUUGUGUUGGACGAUAAUUAAUGACCGCCGUGCCGUCGGCGUUAGUUUUAUUAUUUAUUAUUAUUAUCACGGAGUCGCCACCGUGCCGAGUGUACCUGUGCACGUAUGGUAUUAUUUAGGUAGUAAUGAAUUUUCGAAACCAAUCGACCCAGCCGUUAAUAUUUCACGUGGUGUCCGUUUCGCUCACCCUAUAGCAGUUGUACACAAACUCACCGCGGCAGUCCGGCACCCUCGUCGACGAAAACAAAGUUUUAAUUUAUCCACGACGAUGGGGGUAAGUUGACGAUAAAUUCCAAAAACAAAUUCGUUUGACGCGUAUCGGAUUCCGAACUCGGCGAACUCGGCUACAUUGGUUUUACUGUAUUGUAUUAUUAUACGGUGGGUCACUGUUGUUGGUGAAAAGUCGGAAAGGUAGAAUAAUAUAUUAUAGAGGGGAAUUCAAUUCAUAUCUAUAGAAAUUUGUUGAAAAUGUUGUCUAGUCGGUGUGCAAGGGAGUCGUUUUUGAUCUUCAGGUUUCUCAAUAAUGGGAAAAACCACAUAAAAAAAAAAAAAAAAAUCACAGAAAUUAACCGAGGUACACCAUCGAGUCGUGAUCGACAAUACGUCGAUUUUCAACUAACAUGCGUUUCUAAUCGCGCGGCCGUAUAAGUAUUUAAUUUGUGAUUUUCGUUUUGCCCACCACUGUUCGGAGAGUAAGAAUUUUUCGGAAAACCGUUCCGGACCUAUACAGACACCGGGACCCAAAAUGGAAAAUCUGCGAACGUGUGCACGGUUGGAAAAAAAUGAAUAAAUACUCCGUCGUUCACACUUCGCGUUUACAACGGCCCGUUUGCCCGCGUUUCGGCACGGCCGCAGCCUAUCCGGUCGUAUCCGGUUUCCGUAGGUAACGCGUAGUUUUUCGUUUCGCGUCGCCCGCGAGAAGACGACCGCGACACUGCCCGGUUUUUUUUUUUAUUUUUUCGGCAUAUCGCGCGCCCGCAGCGUGCCGCGCACGGUCGUUUUUCGUACGCGUUUUGCCACGUCGCGAGACGUCCGGCAGGGCGGCGACGCCGUUCCGCCGACCCCGCGCGCAACACUUAAUAACAAUGAUAUUUCGCGUGUAAGUGUUUGUACGGCUGGAGUCGUUCGACCGCCGGCGACGGUUUUAUUUUUUUUUUUUUUUCAUACCCAUCAAAAACCGUUUGAUUUACGAUCGCUGCGAAAGUCCAUAUGUUGCGAACAUGAUCUAUAUACAUAUAUAUAUACGUACCUAACCGUAUACACAAACAAACUGCGUUCUUCCAUAAUAGGCCCGUUUUUGCCGCGUUCAAAUUAAACGUUUUCAAACGAAAAUGUCACCGCAACACAAUCGUAUAAAUAAUAUAUUAUUUUUGAUAUUAAAUCUCGCGCCAUUUUCGACAUUGUAUUGUGCGCAUGGUCCCCUGUCCUUUUUCAAGAAUAACGAUUAAUUUAUACAGAUAACCGAUAUGGCUCACGGGCAGACUCGCAAUGUCAUAAAUCGUUGGUGGGCAGUUAUGCGAGCGUAUAGUUUAGACGGGGGGGGGGGAGGGAGAGAGAGGGCAAUAUACGGGGUAAUUUAAUUUUGAAAAAAAAAAACGAAAAACGAUUUUACAUUAUAAACGGAAUAGUAAAAAUGUACAUCAUGCUGUCUAUUACCUACUAUAAUAAUGGCCUGAUAAUCUACCCACACAACCGUGUAGGGUAUUGUCAAAUCCCGCAUGAUGCACCGUGUACGCAAAAAAUAUAAAACCACAUUUCCUACGCGCACAUAGGUACUUGUAGGGAGCAAUAUAUGUAAUAUUGUAACAUGGGAAGUAUAUUAUUUCUGUUAGCGUACAUAUACACAUAUAUACGUAUAUUGCCUAAUAUACUCUCUCAUAUCCAUGUAGAAACUCGUAAAAUACAAAAUACAAAUAAUGUUAAGUAAUAUUUUCCGAUAUCGAUACUGUUUUUUUUACUAUUUUAUAUAUAUUAUUUUUUUUUUUACAGUGAUACGUAUACACUCGUAUUACUUACCUCGCGGAAACUGCGUGUGUACAUCUUAUCGCGGCCGUUCUAUACAAAUAUAAUAUUUUACCGACGUCUCGUAUUUUAUAUUCGUAUGUAUACUCUUGUAACUCGUAUGUGCGCUUUCGUCCGUACGAUUCGUCGGUUUAAAGUUUUUUUCUUCUUUUUUUUGCUUCUAUAUUACCUAUAUAUUAUAUACGAAUAAGUUUUCCAAAAUAUUGAAAUGUUUUUUUUUUCUAUAAAAAAAUAUUGUCGGUUCCCGUAAAACGGGCGCCUCUGCGUAAAUAUGAUAUUUUUACUAUCACAAGCGUAUGUAGGUGGGUACCUAAUGGAUGUGUAUACAAACAGGGGAUCGUAAUGCGCUAGGAGUAUUUAAAAUGACGAAAUACCGAAUUCAGGCCGGCCGGUUGAAAUUUAAUUCCUGGUCACCCAAUAAAAUGACACGUUAGUGCCAAUCUAAUUUUUCUACAAACAAUUUAUAACGAGCAAUGAUUUGUUGUUACAGAUUAAUAGAAUGUUAAAUUUAAAUCUAUUAACAAACAAAUUUUACUGAACACGUUCAGUAUCUCCUUUCGGUUUGUUUCGUCGUUUAAUACUGUAUAAGUUUGAUAUAAACUAAAUUGUCCUAUAUUGAGUUAAUUUUAAUAAAGAAUCAAUUAGUAGUCCGCUUUUAUAUUAACACUUGCAAAUUUAAAUAUCUAUUACCCAGUCUGGACCAUCUGAAAAAUUCUCAUUUUCGAACUGGCCACUUCGCCCCUGAUAUUCUAAUUGCAUAUUUUGCAAUCAUUUUUUUUUUUAUAGUAUUUUCGAUCUAGUUGGUGUAUUGAGGAGGUAAUUUUUUUUUUUUUUUUUUUUGACAAAUUUACAACGUUGACCAUUUCAUUAUUUUAAGUGUUUUCGACAUUUGUUUUCUACCAAAUAUCUCACUCCAAAUUUCAAUAGUAGCAUAUUUUCUGAAAGAUGAUUUUGUCUGACCCUGACGGAAUUAAUUUUUAAUUACCCUGUAGUUUUUCUUAAUAAGUGGGAAAAACUAACAACCUUUCGUAUAAUUUUGUUUGAUUUCUAAGUGACGUUGCCAUGUUGGCAACUAGAGAAAAUAUACGAUUAAUAAUACUUGCUCAGAAUUCGUUUUUUGUUAGUAAUAUGGUUUAUUGUCACAUUUAUCGUUAAAAAUUUUAAUUAAAUUACCUACGGUUUUAUCCACUGAUUUCUCUCAUAUAAUAACGGCAUGCUCAUCAGCAGUAUCGGGCGUUUGUUUUCGUAUAUAUAAAAAGUUUUCAGUGUAUAAUAAUUAAUGAGUAAUGACUAAUGAAUACAUAAUUAUAUUGUAAAUAGCUUUUUAUUCGUCCGUUCUAAACCAGCGGUGCUCAACCUGUGCGUGUUGGUGACCUAUGAUAUUUACUCAAUUUUUCAUGUGACCUAUUUUAAAAUAAUUUUCAAUGGGGGCUACCCUCCUUACUCAAACACGCUUAAUUUUUCGAUGAUCAUAGUUAAAUGGUCUUUCAUUUUCACCAAAUUAACUUUCAUUUAUUUUUUAAACGAUGUACGCAACUAAACGAGCAAUAGGUACCUUGUCAAGUUCGCAAUAGUGAUAAUUGAUAAGAUAUCAAUAACAUAUCAAAUUUCAUCAUUCCCAUGAAUUUCGAUGUUUACAGCAUUGAAAGACCAUAGUCCCAAAAUUACGAACUUGUAUAAUUGUUUGUCAAGAAAAAUAUUUUAUUAAUUAUUUUCAAAACUAUUUCAUACUGCGUGUAGUCCAAAACAAAAAUAUUACACCAACGUUUUAAUUUGUUGGCGACCCAUUCAAAAUUAUCCGCGAUCCAAUUUCAGGCCGUGACCAUAUGCAGGUUGAGAAACGCGGUUCUAAACUGCAGUACCUAAAUCAGAGAGAAAAAAUAAUACGUUCGCGGUACAACCGGAAAUAGGAAGAAAUAUACAUUACAUUAUAGACUCGGUAUAAUGGCUGCAGUUUAAUAAUUAUUAAUAUUAUAUCGUGUGUAGCUUAUUUAUUUGUUGAUAAUACGCAUGACACGAUGUAGAGCUGCUACAGCAGCACCGGUAGCUUACUUAUUAUAAUGUUAUCUAAUGAAAUAAUAACUAAUACAUUUAACACUUUCGAAUAUAAUAUUGUAUUGUCUUAAUUAUUUUCGAAUAAUAUAAUUAUUGGUACAGAUAAGACCGCGGCACGGUUUAAACCGUGGACCGGGUGACGUCAUUUCAAUAAACUAAACUAUUUCGAUUGGUUUUUUUUUUUUUUUUUUUUUUUUUUAAGUUGAUUAAGGUAUUAAGUGGAAAUUUCGAAACAAUAUUAUAGAGUAAUUUAAUUUAUAAAUUUAUAUAAUAAGCAACGAUAAAUCAUUGUUAAGUAACGAGAUAGCUAUAACGGAAGUUGAUAAUAAACACCGAAAUGUAUUGAAUCAAUAUAGGUAAAAUCGUGGUCAUCGUGUAAAUUUGUAACCCAAAGGCGAAUAUUGUCCAUGACUUUAGAGGGGAAUGAUAUUUUGAAUUACUUUAUUAUGUAUCAAAGCCGCUCAAUGCGCUUGGCAAAAUUCAUUACAAAUUUUAAAAAAAUUUGUGGGUAUAUAAACAAUUGUAAAAUGUCCACCUAAAAAAAAAAAAUUAAAUCGCUUAGUUUAAAACAAUAUAUCGUAUACCAUGCUUUUUUUGAACAAUAAUAUUAUACAUUCGUUUUUAUUUUAUAGUAGUGAGCACUUAUACAUUCGGUAUAUCUGAGGGGGCUUACCCUCCCUUAAGCCCCUUCAGAUUUCCGCCUACGCUAUCAUAAUAUGACGGUGUUUGAUCCGUGGAUCAUUGCGAAAUUGUUACAAUUAAUAUAAUAUACCAUUUCAAUUUGCCGUUAUACUCGAAUAAUAAAUUACAUUUUGAGCUAAUAUAAAAAAAAAAAAUUAUUCGGUUUUUACGAUGUUUUUUUUUUUAAACGCGUUAAUAAUGUUGUAAUAUUAUAGUAUUAUGCUGCGACUACGCGCGAUUAAUCUGUUGUUCAUUAUAUUACAAUAUUAUAUAGUGACUCAGUGUUAUCAGAACGAACAAUAAUUAUUACUCUAUACUCUGACGCGUGUUUAUCUUUAUAGGUUAUAAUAUUAUAUACGUUCGAUAAUAGGUAUCUACCUAAACAUACAUGACUUCAACAAGUAGGCAUUUAGGACGGAUUUAUAGCGUUUAUUUAACACAACACGUGUAACCGGUGUUUACUAAGGGAUGUGAUGUGUUUACAUUGUCAUUUCUCCUCCUUCCUCUCCUCACUCUCCGUUUUCUUUUCUUAACAGAAUAUACAUUCGUUCGGCCGUACGUUUGUCAGCGACGCGCAUCAUCGGUAUUAUACACGGCCGUAUACAUAUAACACCGACUCGUAUAUUUAUUAUUUGAAAACUAUUUUCGACGUUUCGAAACAAUCCCCGCAAGUGUCUGUUCGGUCUUUGGUUUCCGUCUCGUCCGUACACGCCGAUAUUGUAUUAUAAGAACCGUUGCACACGCCAUAAUCCGGUUAUUGUGUGGCCGCACAAACAAUGGUUAUAGCGGACCGAGAGUUGAGGGACGGGCUUAAAAAUAUAUAAGACGAGGAUAUUCGGAUGUAGAGAAACACGGAGAGAUCUGAAAAUAAUACGAUAAAUAAUAUAAAUCAAAAGGGGAUAAAGCGAUGUGCGCGUGUCGACCUUUCGGGUCGUCCCUCGUAGUGAAAAUAACUUUUUUUUUCUCUCUUUUUUUCCUUUUUUUUUUGUAUACGUCUACGCUACGUGUUUUUAUUUAAUCCCGUUGUGUAAAUAAUACCUAUAUGACGACAAUUUCCGCCGCCCUCGGGGAAAUGAAUACGAAUUUUUUUUUAUCUCUCUCUUUUGUAUACAGGACAAUACGUUUCGAAUUUUUCAAUCGUUUUCUCCAAACAAAACUGAUCUGAUGUUCAACACGUAUCACAUGUGCGGAGUAUUUUACCUACAAUAAUCAAUACAUAUUAUACUAAUACAAAUAUUAUAACGUGUUUGUGGUGAAGCAAACACUGGAUAGGGAAUAUACGGGCCCAUCUAGUUUUAAAAUUGUCACCAGCACUAAAUUAUACUAAAUAUAUAAAAUUGACAACAAUUUAAUUAACAACAAAAAUAAUUAUAAUUAUACGCGGCCCGUCGAAAUUUUCUCGGUCUUUGGUUCAAUCGGGGAUUGGUUGAAGUUCCUCACUGCGAAAAUCGAGGUGUCUGUUGAAAGUUUUGCUUUCUAGGUCGUAAUACUUAUCGAAUUGUCUAGAGCCUAGACUUUUCUAUAUGUCUAAUAUUGAAAAAAUUUGGCGUGCACGCGUAAGUCAAAUUUUAAAAGCGAAUAAGUCCACCAAUGGACGAUUUUAUUGGUUGUAUACGAGUGUAAACUGAAUGUUGUGCGCAGAUAGGUAACUUUUAGGAGAGCGAAGUGAACAAGUGUAAUUUCGAGGGAAAACCGUUCCGUAUUUUUCAGCAAACUCAUAAGAAAUACGAAUAGUUUAAAAUAUCUGUUACUUAUAUAUCUGACUUUUUGGAGUAUAAUAUUCACACGUUAUGAUGUAUAUUAAUAACCUGUAUGUACCUUGCGUACAUCCUGUAGAGAAAAAUCAUCAUAAAAGUCUACUCGGACGAAGUACAGUUACACAAUUCGUAUUUUGCCUAAAAAUUAUGACACCGGGUCCCGGUGUGCCAUGUCCUGUCGCGCCGCUAGUCCGAAUUCGACAAGGUACCGGGGAACGGAGGAGACCGAACGGAAAGAAAGCGUUGUGUUUUGCCCGCAGUCAUCCGUGUAUAUCUACUGUUUUUUUUUUCCGUCGUCUAUAAUAUUUUUAUCGGCCCGUGCACACGGGAAUAGCGCUGGAGCGACUAGGAAAACGCGCGGUUAACCAUAUACCCGAGAAAACCUGGUUGGUAUUUUACGUAGAAUGUUGCAGAGUUGAUGAUUUUCCGCCGAUUGUUCUUACAACGAUAUUUGUACCCAUGUAACCAGCUUGCCGUAUAUAUGGUAUAGUCCAUGAAUUAAUGGAACGCGACAUAACGGACAAGUUUACGGCGUUAACAAAUUUGUUCCGUUUUUGUUUUCUAUUAGAAAUCUCGCGUCAAAUUCCAAGAGUAGCGUCUAUAGUUUACGGGGAUAGUUGUUUUUCGAUUUUCCGUGUAUAUAGCGUUCUUAAUAAUCGAGCAAAACUGGUGGGGGGGGGGAAAUUUUCAUUAUUUUCAAUAUUUAAUUUUUUGUUAUUCGAUUUAAAAUAUUCGUAGAGACUUGACAUUUUCACAGAAUACUUAUAUUAGUAUUUUCUAGGCGCGGUUAAUUCGUCGAAAUAUACUGUGGCUUUUUGAGCUGUUUACAGUUAUUUUACAUUUUCGGAUUUUUUUUUUUUUAAAUUUCUAUUUGGUUUUUAUAUGCGGAAAGAUCAAAUAUUGACGAAAAUCGUAAAUAUUCCAGUAUAUAUAAAACCAUAUAUUUUGUUGGUAACGGCGGGUUUAUCAUUGUUUACAGAUAUAAAUUAAAUAAUUUAACUUGAUAAUGAGCAAGAAAUACGUAUAUUAUGUAUGAGAAUAUUAAUAUAGACACGGAAAUGUAUUAUGAACAGGAAGUACUAAAUUGUUUAAUCUACAUACUGCCUGUAAAUACGUCAUUCUUAUAUUUUAUGUUAUCCUUCUUUUAAAAUAUUUUACACUAGAUGUAUACGAAUAGGUCACUCUGUAAGGUUAAAUACGAUAAGGCUAAUCGCAAUAAAUUAUCAUCUACAGUAUAGUGAAUUUCCAGAAUGAGUCGAUAUUUGUAAACGAUUGGGUUUUGGGUACUGUCGUUUAGUAUUUUAACAUUUUUUCAUAGCACAAUAUUCAAUAUUUUUGGAAUUGCAUUUUUUUUUUUAGUUUUUAGAAUAUUAAUUUCCCUAGCGUAUAUCAUUAAAAAAAAUAAUAAUAAAAAACUUGGUUUAACGGUUCUGAAACAAACGGCUAAUUGAAUUCAAACUAUGAGAUAUUCGGAGCUAGAAAAGUAUUUUUAAUUCCCCGGGGGACGAAAUAACGCGAUUUUAGAAAUUAUAUCCCAUCCACUUCGCCUAUAUGAACAAAUUAUUAAUCACGCAGCAGCUAUAUAAUUAUUAUUGUAAUAUUAUACUUUUGAACGACAAUUUAUUUUACGCCGUCGUCGUGAUAAUUGGAAAUAAUUUCGUGGUGUGCGUGUAGUGUUUCGCUAUAAUACAUAAGAUAUAGUAGAAUGAUGUAGAUAAAUAAUAUUUUUAACACGAUAUAAGUCUAUGGUAGAGGAGAUGACUACCUUAAGUGGACUGGAAGCUGUAAUUUUCUGCCUUUGUCUUGCACGCGCGAUGCGCCGUACAUGAAUUUAGACGCGUUCCAAUUUCAACGUACCGGUUGAUCUGUUUAGUGAAGCCAAUAAGAAUUUCUCGUCAAGUGCCUGCUGGAAAUCCACUUUACCGCACUUUGGAUUUUAUCCCUCUAAAAAUGCUAACCGGAACACAUUAAUACUCGGGGAAAUUUAAAUCGAAAAAUCGGAAAACGGUAAACUCGACGAACAAAUCCGUUUUCGGAAUAUUCUUAUCGCUUCACUGUGUUAUAGAUCACCGAUCGCGGUACGGCUGGCAAUAGAACGCGUCAAAAUGUCAUAUACAUGAUGCCCGCCCACGUGUAAGACAAAGGCAUAAAAAAUCAUCGCUUCCAUUCCCCUCAAGUACAGUAAUAAUAAUAAGAGUGCACGUCCCAUAAUAUUAUAUUGUUUACGACGACGGUAUAUAUGAUAUUAUAUUAUAUAGCAAGUACCUAGUCUCUGACAUACUAUCUCUGCUGUUUUUGUGUGUGUGAACGAUCGGAAUGCGUCCCGGCACAGAUGAGGGAAUCUUUUCUUUUUUUUCGGUUUUUGUGAUGUGCAGACCGGGUGCUGGCGAAGGGGACUAUAUAAUAAUAAUAAUAUAUUAUAAUAUCCCAUACACAAUAUAUGGUAUUUUAUUAUAUAUAUAAUAUUGUGUGUGUAUGUGUAUGUGUGUGUGUGAGUGUGCGUAUGUACAUUUCUUUUGAACCGCACAAAAGAGGAGACACCCCCUCUGGGACACAGCUGCGCCACCGCCGGUUUUAAACAUUUUCAGCUGGUCCGCCAAAUGUGUGUGUGUGUGUGUGUGUGUGUGUGUGUGUUGUGAGAAACGGUGACGGAGACGACGUCGCCGCCGUCGGACGCCCAUAUUAUUAUAGUCACGUAUUAUAUGUCUGUGAUUUUUUUUUCCUCGAGAAAAAAAAAAAAUUUAAACACAAUAUUUCAACAUACAUCGUCAGCGUCGUAUAUUGUAAUAAUAAUAAUAAUGGUGUACACGUGUGUAUGUGUAUGUGUGUGUGUGUGUGUGUGUGAAAAAACGCGCACUCGAGAUUCGUACAGCCGAACCUCGUGCAGACGCGACAAAAUCAGAGCGUUUUUACACUGAUCAUAAAAGUAUUUUCCGUUAAAAAAAGAAAAAAAAACAGAUUUUUCGUUCGAAAUCAACGAUAAUUGCUAAUAAUGAGCUCUGCGACCGGAGUAAGGCGUGUUUGUUUCGUGUUUUUUCAUCAGUUGCAGUGAAUUGUUUUUAAAUUGUCUAAAAAUCUGUCGGGAACCUAGAAAAAUGUAUCCGACAAAGUAAUAAUUUACAGUUUAUAAUAUAAUAUACGAUACGAAAAACUCUAAGCAUUUUUACUCAAAAAAGAGAUAUUGUUUUCGGAGGCGAAAAAAAUCUUGGUAAAAUUUAUAGCCGAAAUGUUUAAAACUGCACAUAACAAAUAAACGGGUUCUGGUUUUUAAGAAAUAUUACUACUUGAUUCAAGUAAUACAUAUUAUUACGUGAAUCCUCCCCCCCCCCCAUUGCUGUGCUGCCACUUUCGGUAAUGGAUAGUAUACGGAAAAUGGAUUCAUAAAUAUUUGAAAAAAACUUGUGUUUUUAACGGAUCUACAAUAUACGCUAUAAAUUGUUUUAAUUUAUGGAAAUUUCGUUUGAAAAUUUAAAAUGUAUAAGUUCAUUUAUUAUAAAAUUAUGUAUAAUUUUAGUAUUUUUGGUGUUAUUCUUAUACUCUAUUUUAUCGCUUUGAACAAUAUCUAGACAUUUUAAAUAUAGUUCAAUUUUUAUAGUCGCAACAGUCGUGUACUCGUGCGUGACAGAUCAAUUAAUACACAUGCGAGUGGUAUGCGAAAAAAAAAACUCUGAGAACCUGUGUACAGAUUUAUUCUGUACGAUUUCAAAUUUUUUUUAGAAAUUUGAUUAAUCCUUAGUUUUUUGUUUUCGGAAAAAAUUUUAAAACUCGAGUUUUAUUUGAUUUCGUAUUGUUUCACCGAUGUACGAACACUGUUUUGUCGAUUCAAGUUCAUAUUUGUUUCGUAUAAUAUAAUUUAUUGUCAUUAUAUGACAAUGCCGUCGGAAUAUAAAACUGUGUAUCCGUUUAAAGGUCUUAAAGGAGGGGGGGGGGAUCAAUUUUUCAACCAACGAGAUUUGGCCACGAAGCCUACUAAUUACUAUUAUUAAAAAUUUAAUAGAUAAAUAUCGUUUACUAUGUAUUCUUAUAAUGAUCAACCGAUUUUUAACUUGAAUAUUUUUUUACAAUUCUAUGGUCAAGUUAAUAAUGUACAGGUACCUACAAGUUGUUUUUGUCGUUCGGUUUUCGUUCACGUUAUAUUAUUAACAGCGACAAAUAAUUCGUUACCGUCGACGGUUUCGCUUGUUUUUAGCGUUUUCGCAAUAACGCCGCCUAGAGAUCGAGCUCCACCACUAAAACAUUAUAACAUUUACCCCUUUUAAAUUUAACGAUAACCGGGGUCGUAAAACAGAUAAGAAAUGCAAAAUGUUUUUCAUCGUAAACAAAUACGUUUUCGUUUAUAAAACGUUAUAUUUUUUGUAAAUACCGCAUUAUAUAGUAUAAUAGUUAAUUUUACUAUAAACAUAGUUCGAUCGUAAAAUUAUUAACAAAGUAACAAUAUAAUUGAAAAACGUAUCCAAAUGUUUAUUUUCUUUUAUAUUUUAAGGACGAAUGGAAUCUAUCUAUAUAUAUAUACAGAGUGUAACAGGACUAUUUGACAUUUUUACAUUGCAGUUACAUGUAAAGGGAGGGGUGUAAGUAUAUAAUGUAUAUCCGCGAAGUUUUAACGCGAGCCGCGGUAAUUGAAUUUUUUUUUACGUAUACAAAAAGCCGCGAUACUGCCGACGGCCGUGCCAUUUUCGUAAGCGUGCAAAGUCAUUGGAAGAUACGACAUUUAAAAAUUUGUUCGAUUUAUUUCCGUAAUACGGCGAUGAUAAACCGUUAGUGACAAAAUACGAUUUUUCCGGUCGAUUAAACGCGAUAAAAAAAAAAAUCGCAUUUUCGCGAGAUUCUCGUCAAAAUUCGAACUUGAAAAGUAUGCUCGAAAAAAAACUUCUGCUAUAUACAUAUUACAUCCCGUUCGACUCGUUUCGAUUUUUAUUUUUUUCUGUUCAUCGGGUACAACUUUAUACGAUAUUAUUAUCACGAACCACGGUCCAUAUGAUUUCCGAGCUGCACAUUUCCUCUCUCGGCCGAAACAACGAUAUUGUAUGUUAUCCACACGUGCACAACCGGAUAAAAACUUAAAAUAAUAAAAUAACAAUCUCAAAUCCCCGUACAACGAACAGUUAGAAUGUUUCGACGACGGCGAAGCGUUAUUCCUAUGAAACAGCUACCACACGGGGGUCGCGCGAUAUUAAUUUUUUUUUUUUUUUUUUCAUUGGAAAGUCGGUUGGGCGUUAAUAUUUUUUUGUUCGUUUCCGGAAUCGUACGAUAGAUUGGCCUUAUUGUUAUUAUAAUAUAUAGGGUGACGACGACAAUGCGCGCAGUUAUAUCGUGUAAUAACGUUAUGCUAUAUACAGGGUGUAACAGGACUAUUUGACAUUUAUUUACAUUUUAUUUACGUGCACAAAUGUAAAAUAGUCCAAUUACACCCUGUAUGCGCUGCGCCGGUUGUUAUAGAGACGUUGCGUUAUAGGUACGGGCGUUUUAAUUUUCUUUUUUUUUAUUUAUUUUCGCGUUUAAUUAAUACACGCGUAUACGCGGGUCUGACAAAAAAAAAAAAAAAAAAAAAAACAAAGGAAAUUGAAUUCAGCAGUCCGUAAACCGUGUUAAAAACAACGAUUUUAAAUUCCCAGUUUAGUUUUUGAAUUUCAUUACGCGGAAACGACUAGUAUACGCUACGACGGCUGUUCGUAACUCGGGAAAACGAUUUUUUUCCCCUCUCCCUCGACAAACGUCUCGGAAACACGCGUUGUAUUUUUAAGAGUACCUAUGUACACGAAAAUUUAAACACGAGUAUAGUACUGUUGUUGUUAUUAUUAUUAUAACGCAGCCGGAACGACAGAAACGCGGGGAAAUAAAAAAAUAAUAAUAGUGAACGGCCGCGUCCGUUAACGAUAAAUAUACUCGGGUAUAAAGUAAACAUUAUAAUGAUCGUCUAGUACAGCCUCCGGCGAAGUAUACAAACACGACGCGAGAGGCUACCGAAUGCCGAGCGAUUUUUUUUUUUUUUUUGAAGAGGAAUUUUGUGUGUGUGUUUUUUUUUUUUAUUUUUCGUUUCCGUAGUCGGCGUUCAAGUCACAAACGAGAUUAAUACAAUAGAUACCUAAACGUAAAUCGUCCGGCGCCCGGUGCACGCAGAGUAGGCCGCAGCCGAAGCGCGUCGGUGUGUGUACGCGUCUUUCGGAAAACGGGACAUUUGCUCGGGGAAAAAAAAAAUUCAAUCAACCGCCCACGAUAAUCAGUUCGAAUCGAAGCCGUUUUUCGGAUCACUCGUACCCGUCGCGUGUUCGUCGAUAACACGUCAGAUAACGUCAAUAUUCUAUAGCCGGGGGAGGUAAUUUUUUCCGCGUUUUCCCUCGGCGGUUUUCUCGAUGACCGCGGAAAAACUCGCGGAAACCCGUACGGUAUUGCGUACAAGAUACGUCUGUGAUGUAACGCACAAGCACGUGGAGUACGUGAUGUAUCUAUGAACGUGCAGCCUGACCGGCGGCUUGGUUUGCGAGAGGGAACAACAUCGAGGCCUCGCCGCGGACGGCCGGUGGGUUUCGGUCGUGCUGUACGUAUACUACGAGACGUGGGUCUCGGGAGGGGACAAAGUCCGCCCCGCGUAACGGAGGGCGGAAUUCUCUCCCCCCCCCCCGGGACCCACGAAACUCUCUCCGGACAAUAUACGCGCGCCGAAACGUAAUUUGCGCACGGAAAUAUACGCGCGGCCGCAGACGCGGCGACGGUCCCGCGCCGGCCGGCCGGGGUCUGGGAACCGCCGAACCCGUGGAAACGGCACGGCGCGCGGCGUCGGGGCGCGCUCGCACGCCGCUGCAACGCGAUUCUCGGCGCGGCGGUCGUUUCGCGUUAUUGCCGCGGAGGAGCGGCGCCGCGUGCGUUUUUCGUCGGGCCGCGGACGCGCGUAAACGAACGGUCCCGGCGGUCCCGGUCGGCGCCCCGGGGUUCGGUUUUAAGCGUUUUCACGUACGCACGGAUAUUAUGCGCGGGAACCGCGUAUCGAAAACGGAUCGGCCGCCCCUAUUGUGCGGCGCGCGGUGCCGCGCCUCUUGUGCGCUGCACGUCAUUUCAAAUUGUCACCAUUGUUGUCCGAACCGCCGGUCUCCACGUUCCCAUAAAACCCGCCCGAACGCUCCCUCCCGAAACGUGCCGACGAUCGUACGGGUUGGUGGUACGCGCGCCGUAAUAACGCAACAGAGCGGCGAAAAUCGCAUUCGAUUUUUUUUGUUCUCCCGAUAGAUUUCUACACGCGCGUAAAAACCUAUUGCCACCCCGACGAGUUGCGUAACGUACCGCGUACCGCUGUAGGUAUUGCAAAAAAAAAAAAAAAAAACGAUCUAAAAAAAUUUAUCACGCAUCGUAAUAUCGUGUAAGCUAUGCUCAGAAUCUGAAACAGAAACGGUUUCUCAUGUUACAGUCGACAACGUUAUUAUUUACUUUUCAGAGUUUGGUGUAUAUUAACGUAUAAUAAUAAUAAUAAAAAAAUAACAAACAGAGAAAACAGAAAAUAAAAUUACAUAAUAAUAUAAUAAGGGAUAUCCUUAUUAUGUAUAAUAAUAUCCAUAUUAAUAUCCUGAAGGAUUUGUUUUUUAAAUAAUGAAAAACAUAACCAAUAUCAAAUAUACGAUUUGAAUUAUACGUGAAACGAAUAACAGAAGUACAAAAGAUGUCCUAGGAAAACGGGUGGGCAGCCACUGUUUUAGGUAUUUGAAUUUAUACCUGUAAGCAACGAUGAACCGUUGCUAACGAAAAGACGAUUCUGAGCGGAGUUCAGCUGAUAAUGAUGCUUUGUCAACAAUAUAUCUGUCAUAUUAUAGUAAAAUAAUUAAACAGGCAUUAUAUAUUUUCUCUAAUAAUAUUUGUAUGAUAUACCGAUUUUCUCGUUUUUCUCGGUUCGCCCGUGUUUUUUCCCUAGUUGUUCACGUUUGCUGGGGAAAAUCCCGGGAACAUUAAAAAAUGACCUCCUUAAAGUACCUUCCCAGUCAGGUUUCCUUUUAGAAAGAAAGCAACACUUAAAAAUCGGAGCAAGAUCUCUGGUAUAAAAGUUGUCCACAGAAAAAAAAAAAAAAAAAAUUAUAAACAUCUUUGUAAAACCAUAAGGCUUCUUCGCUUCGCUCUGAAUCUGAAAUAAAAUAUUAUGCGUCCUUGGAAUGAAAAAAUUGUUUCGACCGAUUAAUUGGUACGUAAUGUGCGGCGACGGCGACAACGACGACGUGGGAGCGUCGACCCCUCAAAGACAAAAAAAGCGUUGGUAUAAUAUUACGAAUGCCGUUGACACAUGGCGUCUGUAAUUAAAUGUUUCGUAUGCGACAACAGAUUAUACAAUAAUAAUAAAAUGAUAUUUUUUCAUGCGGCCGGCUGCUGUGUGUAUUGCGCGUGAGCAGUACGUCAAUAAAAGCGGACGUUCGCGAUAUUAUUAUAACAACAAUAAUUUACAAUAAUUAAUUAUUAUUAAAUUGGCCCGGUCUCGCAUAAAUUAUCGCGUAAAUAAAAUAACGGCCGACAAUACACGACGGGUGUAUAUGUUCCGCUGUUCGGUAGGCGAGUUGGAAGGGACGACAAACCGAUUAAAUUGAAUUCACAUCAUCUGUGUACGUGUAUAUAUACGUAUGCGUGACGAUAAAACAUUAAUAACGAAAAUAAAAAUAAAACAGUAGGUUAUAUGUAAAGUUAAUUUUUAUUUGUGUACAUUCCGAUCUCGAACCGGCGAAUUUCCUUUUGGUUAGUGGCCGUUAAAAAACUGACAGAUUUUGGUGUCGCGUCAAACACACAAGGGGACAUGGCUUAGCGUGAUAAAGGAUGUCACUACUGAAACUCGGAACUACACGGGUCCAGAGUGCGUUAUUUGCGGGGGCUCAAACUUUCAAGGACAUUAACAAUGAAUUAUUGAAUUUUUUUCAUUUAGAAAAAGACAUAAUACGCAGGAUAAUAGGGACGGGUGCAGCCGCUGAUUAUAGGUAAUUUAAUGUAUACGUGCAAGCAACGAUAAACCAUUGUGAGCGGAGUUCAGUUGAUAGUGAUGCUUUGUCAAUAAUAUAUAUAUAUAUGUCAUUGUAUAGUAAAAUAAUUAAAUAGGCUUAUAUUACAUGCAUAUAUUACUGAGCGUACACAGAGUAUUUAGAUAUAAGCGUCGUCGUCAUCCUAAAAUACCGCAAUGGACAAAAUAAUUAACUGCAAUUAAUGGUCUGUUAUAAAAAAUGACAGAGAGAGUAAAAUAUUAUGGAACACAGUUAUUAAUUACAAUAACGGCCGCUAUAAUGUACAACAAUAUUGAGACAACUAUACAAAAUGUAUUGCAGUUGUGUACACAAAAACAAUGCGAGAUUGAAAAAAAAAAAAAACUAUACCGGUGAAAUUUUUGUUUGUUUUUUUUUUUUCAGAUAUACAGACAAAUUAACAUCGAGACAACAAAUGAGGACGAGAAUCAAUAGUCAGAUGGGUAGAAAAAAUCCCACUUUUCGCACACCGCCAACCGACUGAAACAAUUUGUGAAAAAUCUUCAGAGUACCGCAUCAGGUGAAUACUAAUAGUACUAACUAUACUAUAUUUUUGGUUGUGCGUCAAUGUUUUCAGGAGGAAAUCGGGAGAUUCAACAACAGUCGACAAUGGAAAAAAGGGGACAACGAAAAAAAAACCGUGAAUUUUUUACCCCUUAUUUCGUAGAAUUUAAAAAAAUGACAAAAGUAGUUGGCGAUAUUUUUAUCGGACUUUUAUCGUUGUAAUGUUAAUGAUAUUGGACACAGAGAAUCUAUACCUAUAACAACUUUAAAAACUUUAAAACACAACACUGGGCCCAUACAACAAUAUUCACGUGGAUUUGUUGGAAAUUGCCGAAAAAAAUGUGGCAUCAGCUUCACGUCGAAUGUAUUAAAUUACAGUGUACGCGAUAAUAAUUAUUAUAAAAAAAAAUAUAAAUAUUUUACCGGGGGGGGGGGGUUCUAUUUGUUUCAUUUUUUCAAUUUUUCGUUGAGGGACCACGACUGUCGUAAUAUUAUUAUUGUUAUACGUACCUAUACAUAACUACCGGGUGUACAUUAUUAAUAUUACUAUCGCUGCCGUCGGGAAAAUACGGGGAAAAAAAACAAAUCAUCGUACCGGUGAAUUAUUAUGUUUGCCUCGACUGCCAAUUAAAAUCGUAAAAAAAUACUGACAGCGGCGACCCGAAGUCACGUCGAGAAACGGAGAAAAAAAUGACUCGACCGAACGAAGAUCGUUCGUACGUAUUGUAAUAUGGCCUCCGUUAAUCUCGACGGUCGGAUCGAUUUUAGAUUCGGAGCGUAGCGAGGAAUAUAUUGGUUUUACAAUGAUGUUUAUUUUAUUUUAUAAUUUUUUUUUUUUUUUUAAAUAAACUGUGAACAAUUUUUCUACCAGAAAUCUUACUCCCAUGCAUCAAGUAUAUCUUUUCUGAAAGGAGAAUUUUUCUAGUUGGCUCAUUUAAAAGGUUAUUUUUGAUUUUUCAAGCGGUUUUCAUAACAAUUGGGAAAAACGGGAAAAUUUACGAAAAUAAUGUGUACACAAAAAUUACACUUUAAUUGUUUAUUUUAACAUUUUAUUUAUGAUCUAUUCACUGUUAGACAAAUUUUUAUAUUUAUUACGAUAGUGAAUUUUAAAUUCUUCUUAAAAUGUUUUCCACAGACCUCAAAUAAGUCUUAAUAAGCCUCUAACGCGUCUUAUUUAUUUAUUUUUUAACGUUGGUUUUUUCGUUUGUAUUACAGAAAUGGAACGUGGCAGAGACAAAAAAUAAAACAAUCACUUACCAACACUUAUCAUUCUUCGCCUUGUGUGCAUUUAAACUACUGGACGGAGAACUGAUAAGGGCUGGUUUGUCGAUACAACGACGUGAGAACAACUACGACGUUAGCGACUAUGCAGAUUGUUAAUAUUAGUAAUAAAAUAAGGCAAACAUAAUUAAGAACAGAAGCGUUUAUGUCAGAAUAAUGGUAUACGUAUCCCCCUCUCCUCAUUUCACCGGUCUUAUUGUUUCCUCCACUUUUCAUUUGAAUGGGUUUAUGCUAAAAGAGCAUCAGUCACAUUUUCAUCAAAAUUGAGAUUUUACAAGGUAGUUUUAAAGCCUAUGAAGUCUAUGAACAUCUAUGCAUGCUCUAAAGACAUCAAUCCAGUAUCAAAAAAACCAUAUAAUUUAUUGUAUUAACAAUUUUUUAUUAAAAAAAGUCUAUAAUAUUAAUAAAUCUAUAGUAAAGACGAAGUGAACAUACCUAGUUAAUUCGCCUGAUGAUAGAAGGGGGUGCCACCAUUCCACGUGUUUAAAAAAUUCGGGAGGCAUGGUUAAUUUUGUAAAACAUAGUUAUACGAGUUAUAAAUUACUUUUUUUAUUGAUUCGGCAAAGUAUUAUUAUUAUGGAUUAAACUCAACUAUUGUCUACAGAUGGUGUUUUUUUUUUUUUUUUUUUAAUUAUUUAUGUAAUUGUACGCGUUUUAAUUAAUCCGCGAGCUUAAUCAAUGUAAUUGUCCGUUACGAGUCGGACGAAGAUAUGAUGUUAUCUCGCAUUAUAUAAAGUAUGUUAUGAUUACACUGUAUUUGUUUAAAUAUGCGAUAUGUCAGUUCUAUAGCAUACAGCUACGUGUAUUAUAAUUACAAACGGGCGAUUUUUGUAUUCGAUACUUAGACACUCUAUAUGCAUAGGUAUCGGAACAUCGAAAUCGAAAUAUUAUUUUAAAUUAUGGAAUGCGAGGAAUGGUUUUUACUACAGAGUGAUUUUUCUUUUGUCCAGGCUGUCUUGUUCCGAUUUUCAAGUAGGCAUAACAUCUUUUCGGUAAUCGAAUUUUGUACGGUUUUAAAUUACGGUUUUUCUUUUAGUUUUCGUUAUAGUUAAGGAAAACCGGGAAAAAACACAGGAACAAUGUGAAAUUGUACGCAACAAAGGUUUUUGCGUUUUUUUCGAUUUUUUUUUUUUUUUUUUUUUUUUUUUUUGUAAUUCGGUUGAAAAUAAUUUUAGCGGUCUAAAAUUUUAACAGAAUUCUCAAAUUAGCCGUUUAUUUCAGACGUGGUAAAUUUUUCAAAACAUUAGACAUUUUAAAUAUUUUCGAAUUUUAUAGUUUUUAUUUCGUUUUAUGUGGAAAAAACUGUUUUGGCCGAGCAUAACUGCUAGAUAAUAAUAUUACACGUGGUUCUUCACUAUAAUUGUUCAUGUUUUACUUAUGAACACAUCAACAAAACUGCUCUAUACCAUCUUGAUAAAUAUUUAAGGUACUGCAAAAUAGAAUUCGGUUCCGAAUGCCAUUAACCGCUUUUAGGAAAUACUCAAAAUCGGCAUAGAAUAGUUUUGGGAUAUACCACGUCAAAAGAAUAAACACAGUUUCAAGUACCAUCUUAGCGAAAUAAAAUGAGUGUCUCGAGCAGUGCCGGCGGCGCGGGAGGCGUGCAGAAAGUGCAAUCGCACUGGGCCUCGCACUUUUGGAUUUAGUUCUGGAUCCUCGCGCCUCUAUCGGGUACCUAUAAAAAUUUAAAAAUAUUAUAAUUUGCACAGUGCCUCGCAAAUCAUAGCUUCGGCACUGGUUAUGAGUGUCGAGUAUCGAAAUCAAACGUUUAUUAUCGCCCAUAUACAUCACUUUUUUACUAUUUAUUUAUCGUUAAUUCCGUUUUUAAAUGUUUAUUAUCAUUUUAUGAUAUUUAUGUUUAUAUAUUUUCAUGUAAUUUAACAUUGUUAAUAAUAUUAUAAUUUAGUUAAGUUUUUUUUUUUUUUUGUAAUUUUAGCCGAUAAAAUGUGGCAUAUGCAUAAAUAAUGCCUUUAAUUCAAUAAUUUAAGGCAAACAUUUUAAAUUUGUCCGGCAAUAUCGAUAAAAUGUACAAAUAUCUAUAUCAGCGGUCCUCAAACUGUGGUACGUGUACCACUAGUGACCAGAAACUGGAACCGAAAAAGACCGUAACAUUUUAAAAACCACAAGAACGGGACCCUUAAUAUUAUUAUUUUUUUAAGAACCAAAACCCUUUAAAUCGUAAAGGUUCCGGUCCCUGCUAGUAAUACGUGGUGUAGUCACCAUGGUGAUUCUCAAAAGACCUCGCGCGGUAUAGUAGUACAGAAAAUGAAUUAAUACAUAUUUGUACAAGGGUUUUUACUGGAUUUAAUACUAUUUUAUUUUUACCGUAUUAUUCAUUAUAUUGUAGUAGUUUACUGUCUUAUAAUAAUGCAAUGUAUAGACAUUAUGGAUAAAUCUAUAUUCAGUAUUAUGUUGUACGCGAUAGAUCUAUAAUACAUAUAAGUGGUACGCGAAAAAAAAGUUUAAGAACCUCUGAUUUGUAUUAUUUAUUUAUGAUUAAAAAUUAAGAAAACCUGCCAAUACUACAUGUUCAUGUCGGUUCUGAGUGCAGCGAGGAAUGCAGUGUUGCAUUAAGCUGUCCACUCUUUUCCCAAUAUUAUAUUCUUAUAUUCAUAUAAUUUUGUGUAUAAUUACUAUUUUGUUUUCG
rnacentral:lncRNA from 1 species